GACGAACGCGGCGGCGUGCCUAAUACAUGCAAGUGGAACGCAUUGGUAACACCGGACUUGCUCCAGUGUUACUAUGAGUCGCGAACGGGUGAGUAACGCGUAGGUAACCUGCCUGAUAGCGGGGGAUAACUAUUGGAAACGAUAGCUAAUACCGCAUAAGAGGAGUUAACUCAUGUUAACUGUUUAAAAGAAGCAAUGGCUUCACUAUCAGAUGGACCUGCGUUGUAUUAGCUAGUAGGUAGGGUAACGGCCUACCUAGGCACCGAUACAUAGGCCGACCUGAGAGGGUGAACGGCCACACUGGGACUGAGACACGGCCCAGACUCCUACGGGAGGCAGCAGUAGGGAAUCUUCGGCAAUGGACGCAAGUCUGACCGAGCAACGCCGCGUGAGUGAAGACGGUUUUCGGAUCGUAAAGCUCUGUUGUAGGGGAAGAACGUGUGUAAGAGUGGAAAGCUUACACAGUGACGGUACCCUAC
rnacentral:rRNA from 1 species